rnacentral:RNase_P_RNA from 1 species
GAAGCCCGCCAGACCGCCGCUGGUGCAAGGCCCGAGAGGGCGCACUGGAGGAACGUCCGGACUGCACAGGGCAGCGUAGCAGGCAACACCUGUCCACCGCGAGGUGAGGAUCAGAGCAACAGAGACGAGUCGAUCCGUGGUUUCGGCCGCGGGUCGGGUGAAACGGGCAAUCUCUACGCGCAGCAAUACCAAGUAGGCACACGUUGACGGGGCCCCCGGAGUGUGCGGGUAGGUAGCACCGAGCCGUGCUGGCGACAGCCGGCCCAGAGGAAUGGCGGUCACGUCCGGGCAACCGGACGCACAGAAUCCGGCGUACCGGCGGGCUUCACAC